rnacentral:rRNA from 1 species
UACGGGGGGAGCAAGCGUUGUUCGGAUUUACUGGGCGUAAAGGGCGCGUAGGCGGUCAGCACAAGUCAGUUGUGAAAUCUCCGGGCUUAACUCGGAAAGGUCAACUGAUACUGUGCGACUAGAGUGUGGAAGGGGCAACUGGAAUUCUCGGUGUAGCGGUGAAAUGCGUAGAUAUCGAGAGGAACACCUGCGGCGAAGGCGGGUUGCUGGGCCGACACUGACGCUGAUGCGCGAAAGCCAGGGGAGCGAACGGG